rnacentral:lncRNA from 1 species
AAAGUUUCAAUUGUAUAUAUGUACUAAAUGAUUUGAAUCAUUAUUAUUUUUUUCCUAUAAAAAAGGACAUGGAUGCUUUUAUCUAGGAAAAUUAAUGAUGGACUUGAAUUCAUAGGAAAGUGAGUCAGGGAAAAUAAAUUACUAACAUCAGACUAAAAAUACAAGAUAAUUCUGUAACAAUGGAUUUUUAAUGCUAGAAAUAUGUGUCGGCCCAGAUUUUAUUUUUAGAAAUAAAAACUCACUGUCCUAAAAUUCAAAAACAGUUAUGCAAAUGUGUCUUGACAAAUUAUUCCAUCCAUUGUGCACUCAAAUUCAAUUUAUAUAAACAGAAUUCCUUCAAGGAAUUGUGUACUAAGGGAGAUAAUCCCUACAAGAAAUAGAUUUAUCUCCCAUUAAUUGGUCAAAUUGUUGGUUACAAUAUUAACAUUUUUCAAUGCUAAAUUUUCUAAUGCAUGCAACAAUUAUAAAUUGUCUUAAGUAAAGCAUCACCAGAAUAAUAACAAACAAGUAAAUGCUACAAAAUUG